UUCAUAAUUUUUGCGCGCUGAACAAACUUCCUGAUUGACUGAAAGUGAAAGUAAAGUUCGUGUUCUCGUCUUCAGGUUUUUGUAAAACUGCUGUCGGUGACACGUAAACAGACAUGCAGGUUCAAGAGCUGCUCCUCGAAACCCUGGAAGAGCUGAUCGAUGAGGACUUAAAAACCUUUCAGUGGUACUGCACGAUGGGGAUCUUGGACAGCUGUAAACCAAUUCCUAAAUCGCGUCUGCACAAUGCGUCUCGGACAGUAACUGUGUCUAAGCUGACUGAGGCCUACAGUGAAGAGGCUGUGAGCGUCACUGUUGAGAUCCUGAAGAAGAUGCACAUGAACAGUUUAGCAGAGGAGUUAAGGAAGAAGUAUGGUGCUGCACCCUCCUCCUCCUCCUCUGCUCAGAGCCCCCCUACUGCUGCCGCUGCAGCUCCUGGAGCUCCUGGAGCCUCAAUGGUGGCUCAACAAGGAGCUGUGAUCUUCGCCCCGACGCUCAGCAGUGGCACCACUGGAUCAUGGAAUGUAACCAUCCACCAACCAAAAAAUAACUAGAACAGAACGUGCAUUAUAUGUUCUAAGUUGUUUUAUUUGUUUUUAACAAAAUACAAAUGCACGAUCCAAGUUGCAGGGAAACCUUUAAAUCCACAUGUGGGAGACCUUCAGAUCUGUUUGGUAACAUUUACAUUUUAGUUCUACCGUUUAGUUAGCAUUUCACAGAUAUUUGAUAAAUGCUUUACAACACAUUGUAAUGCAUUUAUAAGCAGACAUAAGGACAUUUUAAGUGUAUUUUUACUGUACAGAAUUUUCUAUAAUGUCUCUCAUGAAGACAUGGUUUACAUUUUUACUGGAACUGCUUUACUAUAUUUUCUGUUCAAACACUGGCCUUCACCGUUAGCUGACACUCUGGAGGAAAAGUUGUGAGGGCAUAAACAUUGAAAGCAUUUAUUCAGUAUUUACAUCAUACUGGCUACACGCUAAAUAUAGGAACUUAAUGUAAAGCAUUGCCAAUUUUUAUAUUUAACGUCGUCCACCUUGCUGGCAUCUGUCAGUGGACAAGUUAAAUCUGUUUGAAGGCUGCCUGGUGUGAUUUUUAAUAAAAACAGGUGUAGCAUCA